GACGUAGGGCGCGAGCGUUGUCCGGAUUUAUUGGGCGUAAAGAGCUCGUAGGCGGCUUGUCGCGUCGACUGUGAAAUCCCGCGGCUCAACCGCGGGUCUGCAGUCGAUACGGGCAGGCUAGAGUUCGGUAGGGGAGACUGGAAUUCCUGGUGUAGCGGUGAAAUGCGCAGAUAUCAGGAGGAACACCGGUGGCGAAGGCGGCGCUCUGGACCGAGACUGACGCUGAGGCGCGAAAGCGUGGGGAGCAAACAGG
rnacentral:rRNA from 1 species